rnacentral:rRNA from 1 species
UACGAAGGGGGCUAGCGUUGCUCGGAAUGGCUGGGCGUAAAGGGCGCGUAGGCGGACGGCUUUGUCGGGCGUGAAAUUCCAGGGCUUAACCUUGGGGCUGCGUUCGAGACGGGUUGUCUAGAGUUUGGAAGAGGGUCGUGGAAUUCCCAGUGUAGAGGUGAAAUUCGUAGAUAUUGGGAAGAACACCGGUGGCGAAGGCGGCGACCUGGUCCUUGACUGACGCUGAGGCGCGAAAGCGUGGGGAGCAAACAGG